GGGGUUGAGGCUCAGUGGCAGAGCACUUACCUAGCAUGUGUGAGGCACUAGGUUCGAUACUUAGCACCACA
rnacentral:tRNA from 1 species